UCUUGCUGGAACUGAGGAAUUCCAGCUUUUCCUGCCCACUGGGAUUGAGAAUUCCAGCUUUUCCUUGUCCUUUAUCCCACUGGGAUUGAGAAUUCCAGGUUUUUCCUGUGCUUUAUCUCGCUGGAACUGAGGAAUUCCAGCUUUUCCUGCCAACUGGGAUUGAGAAUUCCAGCUUUUUUCUGUCCUUUAUCCCGCUGGGAUUGAGAAUUCCAGCUUUUCCUGCCCACUGGGAUCAAGGAAUUCCAGGUUUCCCUGUCCUUUAUCCUGCUGGGAUUGAGAAUUCCAGGUUUUUCCUGUGCUUUAUCUCGCUGGAACUGAGGAAUUCCAGCUUUUUCCUGCCAACUGGGAUUGAGAAUUCCAAAUUUCCCUGCUCCUUUAUCCCACUGGGAUUGAGAAUUCCAGGUUUCCCUGUCCUUUAUCCCGCUGGGAUUGAGAAUUCCAGGUUUUCCCUGCUCCUUUAUCCCACUGGGAUUGAGAAUUCCAGGUUUCCCUGUCCUUUAUCCCACUGGAACUGAGGAAUUCCAGCUUUUCCUGCCAACUGGGAUUGAGAAUUCCAGGUUUUCCCUGUCCUUUAUCCCACUGGGAUUGAGAAUUCCAGCUUUUCCUGCCCACUGGGAUCAAGGAAUUCCAGGUUUCCCU